GGGACUAUAGCUCAGUUGGUUAGAGCAGUCGACUCAUAAUCGAUUGGUCGUAGGUUCAAGUCCUACUAGUCCCA
rnacentral:tRNA from 1 species